rnacentral:rRNA from 1 species
UACGGAGGGUGCGAGCGUUGUCCGGAAUCAUUGGGCGUAAAGGGCGCGUAGGUGGCCCGGUCAGUCCGUGGUGAAAGCGCGGGGCUCAACCCCGCGUCGGCCAUGGAUACUGCUGGGCUUGAGCACUGUAGAGGCAGGCGGAAUUCCGGGUGUAGCGGUGGAAUGCGUAGAGAUCCGGAGGAAGACCGGUGGCGAAGGCGGUCUGCUGGGCAGUUUCUGACACUGAGGCGCGACAGCGUGGGGAGCAAACAGG